ACAAGAGCGGGAUGCCAAGACACGCGGUCCAUGCCCCGGCCGCCGGGACCGCGCCGAGCCACUGGCGAGACCGACCCGCUAUCCG
rnacentral:ncRNA from 1 species